rnacentral:rRNA from 1 species
CCUACGGGAGGCAGCAGUGAGGAAUAUUGGUCAAUGGGCGUAAGCCUGAACCAGCCAAGCCGCGUGAGGGAUGAAGGUUCUAUGGAUCGCAAACCUCUUUUAUAAGGGAGUAAAGUGUGGGACGUGUCCCGUUUUGUAUGUACCUUAUGAAUAAGGAUCGGAUAACUCCGUGCCAGCAGCCGCGGUAAUACGGAGGAUCCGAGCGUUAUCCGGAUUUAGUGGGUUUAAAGGGUGCGUAGGCGGCCUUUUAAGUCAGCGGUGAAAGUCUGUGGCUCAACCCUAGAAGUGCCGUUGAAACUGGGGGGCUUGAGUAUUGUUGAGGCAGGCAGAAUGCGGGGUGUAGCGGUGAAAUGCUUAGAUAUCACGCAGAACCCCGAUUGCGAAGGCAGCCUGCCGAGCCAUGACUGACGCUGAUGCACGAAAGCGUGGGGAGCAAACAGGAUUAGAUACCCUAGUAGUC